CCUGCUGCAACUCAAAUUAAAGG
rnacentral:piRNA from 1 species